rnacentral:rRNA from 1 species
AUGAAGGCCAGCACUCUGCGCCGGUGCGCCGGCCGAAACUUUCGGCCGGUCUGCUGGCGGCCGUUCGAUCUGAGCAAGGUGGGCCACAGGAUCUGUUCCUCCUCCUUUCUCUCGCAUGGGUCAAAAUCCCCCCCGCAUCUCUCUCUCUCCCCGGCAGCGAACAUGCCUGCGCCCUCUCGCCACCCCGGGCCACCAUCCCUGCUCGCCGCGCUUGCCGCGCUCGCCGCCGGUUGCCUCCCUCGCCGCCGGUCGCUGCCCUCGCCGCCGUCGUCUCCUUCCGUGUUUCCCGUCGGUUCCGUGCAUGCAGCAGCGUGUCCCGUAGUUGCAGCUCCCCAUAACGACGGCCGCAGCUCCGGCGUGCGCCGGUUGCAGGUCGCAGCACCUCCGUCGCCCAGCUCGUCGCCCCACGGUAUCAAUCUCGAUGCCGUUCGUAGCAAAAAAAGCGGAGACAUUCCAGCAAAAAACAUGAUUCCAGCAAAAACAUUAUAUGGUUCCAGCAAAAAAUUUGUGUGGUUCCAGCAAAAAAUGAGAUGGUUUUCAGCAAAACGUUGA